GACAAUGGUGUUAAAAUUUGAUGUGUGUCGUAGCACAUCAAAAUUAAUCCUACUCACUACUAUGUAGAUAGAGUGAGUCAGGAUCGUAUCUAUAGGAAUUUAGUCGAUUGUUUCAAAAAUACAAAAGAAAAGAAUAAUAGAUUCAAGAAACUAAGAACGGAGCAUGAAAAUUAUAAUAAAAUUAUUUUUUAUUAAUCAAAUAAUGAAGCAUACAUAAAGAAAAAGAAAUAAAAUUGUAAUACAAGAUAACUAAACCAAGUUGAUCUUCUCACUGCACCCGAUAGUGGAUGUGUCUCCUUGAAUCCUUCAUCUUCCUCUGUGCAGAUAGUGGCAGGA
rnacentral:lncRNA from 1 species